GAUGAACGCUGGCGGCGUGCUUAACACAUGCAAGUCGAACGGAAAGGCCCGGCUUUUGUGGGGUGCUCGAGUGGCGAACGGGUGAGUAAAACGCGAGUAACCUGCCCUUGACUGUGGGAUAACUCCAGGAAAAUGGGGCUAAUACCGGAUAGGAGAUCCUGCUGCACGGUGGGGGUUGGAAAGAGUCGGCGGUUGGGGAUGGACUCGCGGCUUAUCAGCUGGUUGGGGGGGUAGUGGCUGACCAAGGGUUUGACGGGUAGCCGGCCUGAGAGGUUGACCAGCCUCCUUAGUACUGCGAUACGGCGCAGUCUCCUACGGGAGGCAACAGUCGGGAAUCUUGCGCAGUGGGCCGACGCCUGUUGCAGCAGCGCCGCGUGCGGGAUACCCUCCUUCUAGUUGUGAACCGCUUUCGCCUGUGACGUAGCGUGCGUGACGGUAAUGAGUAAGGAAGCACCGGCUAACUACGUG
rnacentral:rRNA from 1 species